rnacentral:rRNA from 1 species
CGAGUGGCGGACGGGUGAGUAAUGUCUGGGAAACUGCCUGAUGGAGGGGGAUAACUACUGGAAACGGUGGCUAAUACCGCAUAACGUCGCAAGACCAAAGAGGGGGACCUUCGGGCCUCUUGCCAUCAGAUGUGCCCAGAUGGGAUUAGCUUGUUGGUGAGGUAACGGCUCACCAAGGCGACGAUCCCUAGCUGGUCUGAGAGGAUGACCAGCCACACUGGAACUGAGACACGGUCCAGACUCCUACGGGAGGCAGCAGUGGGGAAUAUUGCACAAUGGGCGCAAGCCUGAUGCAGCCAUGCCGCGUGUAUGAAGAAGGCCUUCGGGUUGUAAAGUACUUUCAGCGGGGAGG